GACGGAGGGUGCUAGCGUUGUUCGGAAUUACUGGGCGUAAAGGGCGCGUAGGCGGCCUGGUCAGUCGGGUGUGAAAGCCCGGGGCUCAACCCCGGAACGGCACCCGAGACGGUCAGGCUGGAGACCGGGAGAGGAGGGUGGAAUAGCCAGUGUAGAGGUGAAAUUCGUAGAUAUUGGCUGGAACACCGGUGGCGAAAGCGGCUCUCUGGCCCGGUUCUGACGCUGAGGCGCGAAAGCGUGGGGAGUAAACAGG
rnacentral:rRNA from 1 species